rnacentral:rRNA from 1 species
GGCGGCGUGCUUAACACAUGCAAGUCGAGCGGAAAGGCCCUUCGGGGGUACUCGAGCGGCGAACGGGUGAGUAACACGUGAGUAACCUGCCCCUGACUCUGGGAUAAGCCCGGGAAACUGGGUCUAAUACCGGAUACGACCACUUCAGGCAUCUGAUGGUGGUGGAAAGAUUUCUUGGUUGGGGAUGGACUCGCGGCCUAUCAGCUUGUUGGUGGGGUAGUGGCCUACCAAGGCGACGACGGGUAGCCGGCCUGAGAGGGCGACCGGCCACACUGGGACUGAGACACGGCCCAGACUCCUACGGGAGGCAGCAGUGGGGAAUAUUGCGCAAUGGGCGGAAGCCUAAGCCAGCGACGCCGCGUGGGGGAUGACGGCCUUCGGGUUGUAAACCUCUUUCAGCAGGGACGAAGUUGACGUGUACCUGCAGAAGAAGCGCCGGCUAACUACGUGCCAGCAGCCGCGGUAAUACGUAGGGCGCAAGCGUUGUCCGGAAUUAUUGGGCGUAAAGAGCUCGUAGGUGGCUGGUCGCGUCUGCCGUGAAAGCCCGCAGCUUAACUGCGGGUCUGCGGUGGAUACGGGCCGGCUAGAGGUAGGUAGGGGCAAGUGGAAUUCCUGGUGUAGCGGUGAAAUGCGCAGAUAUCAGGAGGAACACCGGUGGCGAAGGCGGCUUGCUGGGCCUUACCUGACGCUGAGGAGCGAAAGCGUGGGGAGCGAACAGGAUUAGAUACCCUGGUAGUCCACGCUGUAAACGUUGGGCGCUAGGUGUGGGGAUCUUCCACGAUCUCCGUGCCGGAGCUAACGCAUUAAGCGCCCCGCCUGGGGAGUACGGCCGC